AUAAAGAUAAGCUAAAUUUAAGCUAAUAGGUUCAUACCCUAUAGAUAAAGAUUAAUUCUUUUCUUUAUA
rnacentral:tRNA from 1 species